rnacentral:rRNA from 1 species
CGCGUGGGAAUCUACCCAGUAGUGGGGGACAACAGUUGGAAACGACUGCUAAUACCGCAUACGUCCUAUGGGAGAAAGCAGGGGAUCUUCGGACCUUGUGCUAUUGGAUGAGCCCGCGUGAGAUUAGCUAGUUGGUAAGGUAAUGGCUUACCAAGGCGACGAUCUCUAACUGGUUUGAGAGGAUGAUCAGUCACACUGGAACUGAGACACGGUCCAGACUCCUACGGGAGGCAGCAGUGGGGAAUAUUGCACAAUGGGGGAAACCCUGAUGCAGCCAUGCCGCGUGUGUGAAGAAGGCUC